UAACACAUGCAAGUCGAGCGAGACCUUCGGGUCUAGCGGCGGACGGGUGAGUAACGCGUGGGAACGUGCCCUUCUCUACGGAAUAGCCCCGGGAAACUGGGAGUAAUACCGUAUACGCCCUUUGGGGGAAAGAUUUAUCGGAGAAGGAUCGGCCCGCGUUGGAUUAGGUAGUUGGUGGGGUAAUGGCCCACCAAGCCGACGAUCCAUAGCUGGUUUGAGAGGAUGAUCAGCCACACUGGGACUGAGACACGGCCCAGACUCCUACGGGAGGCAGCAGUGGGGAAUCUUAGACAAUGGGGGCAACCCUGAUCUAGCCAUGCCGCGUGAGUGAUGAAGGCCUUAGGGUUGUAAAGCUCUUUCAGCUGGGAAGAUAAUGACGGUACCAGCAGAAGAAGCCCCGGCUAACUCCGUGCCAGCAGCCGCGGUAAUACGGAGGGGGCUAGCGUUGUUCGGAAUUACUGGGCGUAAAGCGCACGUAGGCGGACUGGAAAGUCAGAGGUGAAAUCCCAGGGCUCAACCUUGGAACUGCCUUUGA
rnacentral:rRNA from 1 species